UGGGGAAUAUUGCACAAUGGGCGCAAGCCUGAUGCAGCCAUGCCGCGUGUGUGAAGAAGGCCUUCGGGUUGUAAAGCACUUUCAGCGAGGAGGAAGGUGGUGAGCUUAAUACGCUCAUCAAUUGACGUUACUCGCAGAAGAAGCACCGGCUAACUCCGUGCCAGCAGCCGCGGUAAUACGGAGGGUGCAAGCGUUAAUCGGAAUUACUGGGCGUAAAGCGCACGCAGGCGGUUUGUUAAGUCAGAUGUGAAAUCCCCGGGCUCAACCUGGGAACUGCAUUUGAAACUGGCAAGCUAGAGUCUCGUAGAGGGGGGUAGAAUUCCAGGUGUAGCGGUGAAAUGCGUAGAGAUCUGGAGGAAUACCGGUGGCGAAGGCGGCCCCCCUGGACGAAGACUGACGCUCAGGUGCGAAAGCGUGGGGCAGCAAACAGGAUUAGAUACCCCUGGUUAGUCCACGCUGUAAAACGAUGUCGAUUUUGGAGGUUGUGCCCCUUGAGGCGUGGNUUCCGGAGCUAACGCGUUAAA
rnacentral:rRNA from 1 species